GCCGGGAUGGUCUAAUCGGUUAAGGCGUCGCCCCGGACAGCCGAAGGUUACGGGUUCAAUCCCCGCUCCUGGCC
rnacentral:tRNA from 1 species